rnacentral:tRNA from 1 species
GCGCUCGUAGCUCAGCUGGAUAGAGCAACGGCCUUCUAAGCCGUAGGCCGCGGGUUCGAAUCCUGCCGGGCGCGCCA